CCUACGGGAGGCAGCAGUAGGGAAUAUUGGGCAAUGGGCGCAAGCCUGACCCAGCAACGCCGCGUGAAGGAAGAAGGCUUUCGGGUUGUAAACUUCUUUUCUGAGGGACGAAGAAAGUGACGGUACCUCAGGAAUAAGCCACGGCUAACUACGUGCCAGCAGCCGCGGUAAUACGUAGGUGGCAAACGUUAUCCGGAUUUAUUGGGUGUAAAGGGCGUGUAGGCGGGAAAGCAAGUCAGAUGUGAAAACCACGGGCUCAACCUGUAGCCUGCAUUUGAAACUGUAGUUCUUGAGUACUGGCGGGGCACACGGAAUUCCUAGUGUAGCGGUGAAAUGCGUAGAUAUUAGGAGGAACACCAGUGGCGAAGGCGGUCUGCUGGACAGCAACUGACGCUGAGGCGCGAAAGCGUGGGGAGCAAACAGGAUUAGAUACCCCAGUAGUC
rnacentral:rRNA from 1 species